rnacentral:rRNA from 1 species
UACGAAGGGUGCAAGCGUUACUCGGAAUUACUGGGCGUAAAGCGUGCGUAGGUGGUUUGUUAAGUCUGUUGUGAAAGCCCCGGGCUCAACCUGGGAAUGGCAAUGGAUACUGGCAAGCUAGAGUGCGGUAGAGGGUAGUGGAAUUCCCGGUGUAGCGGUGAAAUGCGUAGAGAUCGGGAGGAACAUCGGUGGCGAAGGCGGCAUCCUGGACCGGUAUUGACGCUGAGGCGCGAAAGCCAGGGGAGCAAACGGG